rnacentral:rRNA from 1 species
UCAACANAGGGAUGCAAUACCGUGAGGUGGAGCGAACCCCUAAAAAAUCGUCCCAGUUCAGAUUGCAGUCUGCAACUCGACUGCAUGAAGUCGGAAUCGCUAGUAAUCGCGGAUCAGCAUGCCGCGGUGAAUACGUUCCCGGGCCUUGUACACACCGCCCGUCACACCAUGAGAGUCGGGAACACCCGAAGUCCGUAGCCUAACCGCAAGGGGGGCGCGGCCGAAGGUGGGUUCGAUAAUUGGGGUGAAGUCGUAACAAGGUAAC